rnacentral:rRNA from 1 species
AUUGAACGCUGGCGGCAGGCCUAACACAUGCAAGUCGAACGAGUGGCGGACGGGUGAGUAAUGUAUGGGAACCUGCCCUAUGGAGGGGGAUAACUACUGGAAAGGGUAGCUAAUCCCGCAUACCAUCGGAUGUGCCCAGAUGGGAUUAGCUAGUAGGUGGGGUAAUGGCUCACCUAGGCCACGAUCCCUAGCUGGUCUGAGAGGAUGACCAGCCACACUGGGACUGAGACACGGCCCAGACUCCUACGGGAGGCAGCAGUGGGGAAUAUUGCACAAUGGGCGCAAGCCUGAUGCAGCCAUGCCGCGUGUAUGAAGAAGGCCUUCGGGUUGUAAAGUACUUUCGGCGAGGAGGCGUUAUCCGCAGAAGAAGCACCGGCUAACUCCGUGCCAGCAGCCGCGGUAAUAC